rnacentral:rRNA from 1 species
AUUGAACGCUGGCGGCAGGCUUAACACAUGCAAGUCGAGCGGAGAUGAGGUGCUUGCACCUUAUCUUAGCGGCGGACGGGUGAGUAAUGCUUAGGAAUCUGCCUAUUAGUGGGGGACAACAUUCCGAAAGGAAUGCUAAUACCGCAUACGCCCUACGGGGGAAAGCAGGGGAUCUUCGGACCUUGCGCUAAUAGAUGAGCCUAAGUCGGAUUAGCUAGUUGGUGGGGUAAAGGCCUACCAAGGCGACGAUCUGUAGCGGGUCUGAGAGGAUAAUCCGCCACACUGGGACUGAGACACGGCCCAGACUCCUACGGGAGGCAGCAGUGGGGAAUAUUGGACAAUGGGCGGAAGCCUGAUCCAGCCAUGCCGCGUGUGUGAAGAAGGCCUUUUGGUUGUAAAGCACUUUAAGCGAGGAGGAGGCUACCUGGAUUAAUACUCUAGGAUAGUGGACGUUACUCGCGGAAUAAGCACCGGCUAACUACGUGCCAGCAGCCGCGGUAAGAC